rnacentral:rRNA from 1 species
AUGAAGGCCAACUGUAUCGUCCUCAUCCACCACACCGGUAGUCAGUGGCGUCUCGUGGAUAUCUACACCCAGCGAGAGAUCACCCUUCCAUCGUUCGAUACCGCCAACAUCAAGCCUCGCGGCCCGCCGGACACUCCUGCCUACUACGCACGAGACGCCAUGACCCUCUUUUGUUGGAUAUUAUGUACUGUUGUUAGUUUGAAGCACUCCUCUAGUUUGAAGGAUAGAUACCUUCCUGGGAUCAAGUGCAUCCUAACUCACCUGCUACCAUAUAACUGGAAUUACCGAUGCAAGUCAAAGAAGGAUUGGCCGGUGCUGCCGGCUGGCGUCAAGUUCGAUCCCACGGAUCAGGAGCUGAUCGAGCACCUUGAGGCCAAAGUGACUGUUGACAGCGCGAGAUUUAAGUCUCUCAUUGAUUUGCUCAUACCAACCAUCGACAGCGAGCACGGCAUAUGCUACACCCAACCUGAGAAACUUCCAGGUAUCACACUGAGUGGCCUAAGGAAGCAUUUCUUCCAGCGCAAUUCCAGGGCAUUCAAAAGGGGAACACGGGCAGCAAAAAAGGUUCUGGUGCUGCACACCAACAAGAACUUUGACCAGCAGAGGACCAACUGGGUGAUGCACCAGUACCACAUCGGGGGCCUGGAGCAAGAGAAGGAGCGGGAGCUGGUCCUCUGCAAGAUUUUCUACCAGACAAACACUAGGGCCAGGAGUAGUUUGGUAUUGGUAGUUGUACUACCUUGUCGUCCGCAAGUUGGUAUUGUUGUUAACGAUCUUUUGGUAUGA